CUGGGUUUUCCAAGGCUCCGUGCCUGCCACCCGCCCUCUGUCAUGUGUAGUCACAAUGCUUCGGCCGCUGGGUCGCCUUGCGCAUUUGUUUGCGGGAGGUCGGUGCCACGGUCGGUCUCCAAACUCUUGAUGAAUAUGUGUCGUCUGAUGAAAUUGAUAAAACGAAAAUA
rnacentral:misc_RNA from 1 species